UUGGAGAUCUCGAAAUAGCACACCUCAAUUAAUGGAAGCUUUCAGGCAGGGAGGGAAAUCGACAAACUGUAGUAGGUGAGAUAUGGUUUAAAGAGAGAAAAUGAUGAAGAAGCUUCAUGGGGAAGACACUUUGACGAAGCAGAGAGCCGGCGUAAAGAGGAUAGCAUAAAGAGGGAUGACCAGAGGUGGGUGGUGAGAUAGAGUAAAGGCGCGGGGGGGAGAGAGAACUAGGGUUUUGGUGGUGAGCAGCAGUAAAGAGGAAGGAGAGAGAUGACACGGGUAAAGAGGAGUGGGAGGCAGAGAUGCAUUUCAGAGAGGCGAUAAACACAAGGGCAGGUGA
rnacentral:lncRNA from 1 species